CGCGGACUCGUGCCGACGUCUGCGUGUCGUAGACGUCAAAAAUAGAACAAUAUAGAUUUUUAUUUUCCACAAAGGACAAUGGUUUAGUGUUCACGAUUAGUGUAUAGUUUAUAAAGAAGUUUUUAAUCCGAGUGUUUUUGGUAAAUGUUAAUUCAUUAAAGACUGAUAAAGCUUGAAAUGAUACAGCCGAGCUGAAACAAGCGCUAUGAUCGCUUCUAGCGAGCUCACGCCAACAUGGCCGACGAAGAAGAAAAACUGCCGAUACCUCCCACAUUCCUCGAGAAACUUCUAUUCUACACGACAGCUACGUUCGUCCUCCUCGCGAUAUUCAGCCUGUUCGCCUUCCUCUUCUUAGUACCGUUCGUGAUAGAGCCAGCCUUCACCACCAUAUUCAUGCAGUUUGAUCCCGUUGGCGCGUUAUGUGUCACGGCUGAAGUUAAACACUUGGUCGGCGCGAGCAACUGCUCCUGGGCGUCCUGCAGAGAAGGCUGCACCAAAGACCUCUUCGAAUGCACUCAGAUACGAGUUAACUACAAACUUGGCUACCCCCCGAAUAUAUCAGCUACCGAUUACGAAGCUCUCAUCAGAGCCGAAAGAUCCCUGAGGAAAGAUUACGAUUACGAAAAUUACGAAUCACCAUUGGAUAAAAUAGACCCAGAAAUGGAAGAUUUAGAAUUGCCCGAAGUUAUUCCAACAGGAUUGCAAGGCAACGACUCAGAAUGGUAUUUCACUGGUGCUAGGUUAUUCCCGAAUGUUAAGGGAUGCGGUUAUCCACCUAUUUUAAAUUGUACUAUAUUCUAUGGAAAAUAUAGACCACUGGGCAACAAUUAUACUUGUUAUUAUAGUCGCGUUGACCCCGGAUUAGUGAUCACGGAAUUGGACAUGUGGCAGAAUACGCUCAAUUUAGUUUACGCCAUGGCCAUUCCGAUUCCAUCCUUUUUUAUUUCAGUGAUAUACCUAACGAUUGCGUACUUUAAAAUUUACAAUACUGAAGAGGAAUCUGAACAAGCGCCUCUGCAGAGUGAUGCAGAGGCGAUGGCAACAGGAGACGAUGGAAAACCAACGACUCCUGGGUCCGAUACAUUUAGGGAAGAUUUAGCUUGCUUUGGCCACCAAUUAAAGUUGCAAUUAGCUAACGAUAAACCAAAAGAGGGCUUUGAAUCAAAUAGUCCUCCUAUUUCCAACUCUGCGUCACUGUCUGGGACCAAAUCAUCUUUCGUGAACGCCUAAUGAAACUAGAGUUACAAAGGUAUGGUGAAUGAAAUUUCGAAUUCAAACUGAAAAGAUGACACGGCUCCUGAAAAUGCUUUGGAUACAAAGUGCAUCAUGAAUUGAACAUUUCAAUGGACUUGUAAUCUCCUGCGCCUGCGUGCUUUCGCUUCGAGUGAAGUGCUUGUGUUGUGACAUUCCGUGACAGCAGACGAACGAAUCAAAUUCGUUUUUAAUAAUGUAAAGGGAACGGUACCAAGAGAUUUUAGCAAUAUAACGGGAGCGGUACCCAGAGAUUUUAGCAACGUAACGAAAACGGUACCAAGAGAUUUUAACAAUGUAACGAAAACGGUACCGAGAGAUUUUAACAAUGUAACGGAAACGGUACCGAGAGAUUUAGUGAGUUAACAAUGACGUCGCUUAUUAGCUAGUUUAUUUAGUAACGAAAUUUAGAUUAAUGUUAUGUUUUUAGUUAUCGAAAAUUGUGAUCAAUCGUUGUCACGGAAGAUUUAGGAAUUUUUCAAGUGUGUUUAUGGUCGUAUGAUGUAUGUGUCAAAUGCACGCGUGCUAAACAAUGAAAUAUUAUAGCAAACGCUGGUUAAUCCAUUUAAACUGAGGUUAGUGUAAAUAAUUACAUGAACAAGGUUAUAGUAAGAUAUGUAAUAAUCGAACGAUUAAACACAGCUUAAACGGUCAUUAUUUUGAAUGUACCUAACUUUCAUUAAUUUCUUUCAUUUAAUUUCUUGUAGAUAGGAUAAGAUAAUUUAACAUCAAAUGAAUAUUGUAUAUUAUUAAUUCAAUGUUAUUUUAAGGUUUUGCGCUAUUUAAUUAUUUUAAAAAUUUAUAUUUUAUACCAUUUACCAUUCGUAAUUCUAAAACAAAUUCACGAGUCGUCCCUGCCAGUAGCAAGUAUUGAUUCUUCCGUCCCGAGCCUAAACUUUUUAAAAAUUCAACGAUAUAUUUUAUUGUCCAUAGUGAUCCGUACCGACUAUCCAACCAAAAACAAAAGAUGUUAUUUGGUAUGUGGCGUCUAUCGAUCGAACGUGCUUUUUCAAUCAUAACUGCUGUACUAAACGUAAUACUCCGUCUAAUAAUGCUCAAAAAUAAACCGUUUUGGAAACUUUAAUUGGUUUAUUUAGGUGGCUUAAGGCUUUUCGCUGAUUUACACUUUCAACUCAAAUUUCUUCAAUUAUUUAGAGGAGCUAAGACAUUUAACGAUAACAUCAUUUUCAUGUGAAACCUUCGUUGCUAAAAGGCAUUUCUUAUCACAAAAAUUAAUUAAAAUAACGAAAGAUUUUUAUUUGCUUUUUGAAUACAACUUAAAUUAAAUUCAUUUUCUAAAUAGACAAUUUUAAUUGUGUCACCCAAAGUUUUUUUUUUAUCUCAAUAAAAUUAUAACUACCCUGCUUACUUAUGUGUGUAAUAAAAUAGAUAUAAAAGCUUCUAGAAGCCGCUAGAAAAGAAAGCCUUUUCCAUGUUGUGUGUCAUUGUUAUUUUUUGUGUAAAAUAAAUACUUUUAAUAUAAAAAAUACGACUGUGUUAUUCCGAAUACGCUCGGAUUAAUAUAAAAUGUAUAAUGAUAAACGUUUUGGAAUUCGCUGGAUAUUGUUACACGAAAUAAAGUUUAUAAUACUUAUUGUUUUAUACAUAUUUUCCUUUAUAUUUAUAUAAUUUAAUAACAUUGUAAUGUUGUAAUAAUGCUUUUAAUGUUACUCUGACGGUUGAUAUGAAUAUCAUAAUUGUUUGUCGAUAUGAAUUAAGAGCUAGCGCGCAAGAGCAACUUUUGUCUCCGCAACUAUUUUGUCUCUCCCAUCAACUCUAUGGGGAGUUGCGUCGCUACGUGCGCGCACUUUCUUACUAGCCCAUAGAGUUGAUGGGGGAGACAAAAUAGUUGCGCAGACAAAAGUUGCUCUUGAGCGCUAGCUAUAAAAGUUAGAAGGCUUGUGUAUAAACGUAAGCAUACACUAUUUAUAAUAUUUAAGUAUACAAUAAUAUAAUAUGUAACAACUGUACUGUAUUGACGAGAAAUCUAUGGUUUACCUUAUACUUGAAAAUUAAAUCAUUGAUAAUAAAUAUUUAUUUUUCACCACGAAAUAUAGCUAUAUAAUUUGGAUAUACAUGUUUAUUAGGAAGAAAUGUUGAAAUUUAUAGAUUAUUAAUUAAUAAUUCAAUAAUUAAGAUUGUAAUAAGGACGCUUAGAAUAUUUUUAGAAUAUCGCAAAGUACCCACGCGCACAUUUAGUAUGUAAAAAAGAAAUACUGAGGGCCGAUUUUUAAAUGCUUGGCUAAAACUUAUUCGUCGAAUAACGUAUUAAACUACCAUUUCAAAAAUGUAUUCUAAUUGUCCGUAUUUGACAGUUUACAGGUGACAUUUUAAUUGAACGGAUAAAUUUUAACGAAGGAUUGAAAAAUCGGCCGUAAACAUAAUAAUUUAUUGUACGCUUGUUUAACUUUAUUAAUUGUAAUUAAUUAAAUAAUAAUUACUUAUUACUCGGUGAUGUUAUUGUAAUAUUUUCAGUUAUAAAUCGUCUCGAAAAGCAAUCACAAAAUAUCAAGUUGUGAAUUAAUGUCAAAUUAUUUUAGGUAAAGCUUUUCGCAGAGAUCCGAACUACGCUAAAUAAUAUACUUAAGAGAAAUGUUAAAAUUUAUAUUAUCGUAUUUUAUUAAGUUUAUAUACAUAAUAUUGAAUUGAUAUCAUUUAUUUACAUGUUCCUUUUGUAAUUUGUAAGUUUGUGAAUAUUUGCUUCGAUGUGAUAACGCUUAUUGUGAUGGAAUAACAAUAGGUAAUAUUUAUGUAUAGCAUUAACCAAUCAAAACAGUAUAAUAAUAUGCGAAAAUUAAUAUAAGGCUUCACAUUUCCACAGUGCACUUAAGUUGUUUAGAUGUAGAUCAAAUAAUGCAGAUACCUAAGUGUGUAUUUUGUUUUUGUGAUAUUUGAAAUCUUUACGUGAUUGCCUGUUUAUUAUGGUUAUUUCCGAAUGAUGCUGGUUUAAUAGUGAGUUACACAGAUAAUAUUUACACAGAUAAAACACAAAAAACAACGUCAAAUCAAUUGUUUCUCUACCUACUUACGUAACGGGUAAAAACAAGUUUAACAUACUACUUACGCUUGCAACGCCAUAUUAAACAGGCAAUUUACGUUAUUAACUGACCGAAAUAUUAAUAGUUGGCACUUAAAUUAAUAAAAAUUAAUACAUUGUCAUUAACCACAGUCACUGCCAAAUGUGGUCUCACCGAACGCUUUCUAACAGAAACCUGUCCAGAAUUAAAUAUAAGAAAAAACCGCUUUUAUAUUCAUUUAUAAGCUUCCAAACUUUGUUGUAAAUAUUUCCCUUAUUAUAUAUACAAUUAUUGAAAUUCUGCACACAUAGUGUGCACAUUACUUAUACGGAGAAAAGUCGGGCACAUUUAUACUGCAUUCGACAGAUAAAAAUCAACCAUAAAACGAUGUGUUAAGAAUCAAAAUGUAUUGUUAAUUUAUCAAACUAAUCUAUGGCUUAGAAUUUCAAGCCAAUAAUAAUCAUAUUUCAAACAAAACUUUAUAUGAAAUUCCUUGUAAAACGGUUGUAUUGAAAGAUGUUAUAAAAAUGGCUUUAAUUUUGAAUUUAAUACCUAAAUGAAUAUAAUUUAUAUGUUGCAAAUGUGCCUAACAAUCGCUUAAGUAAAUACGGGCACAAUUAAAAUAAUAUUGCUUUGAGUCUGGUUUAAUUUCAGGGUGUUUUGAAAUGUUAUCAUAUUCAUUUAGGUACUUCGCUUCUAAUAACGUUUUGAAGUUAAAAGCAAAUAAUUUAAUUGGUUUCCCUAUGAAAAUGCAAAUUUAAAUCAACACAACUUUUUAUUAUAAAUUUUAAAACAUUGCCCAAUUUGCUAAGAAUACUUUUACUUUUUUAAUAAGCUAAACAUUAUGCUUAAAUAAUAACAAAAUAAUUCAAUAAAAUUGUAAUUAAAUGAUGUAUUUAUAAAAUUAAUUUAUUAUUAAUGAAAUACGCUGGUUCCGUAAUUUGGUUGUUAUAAAACAAUAAUUUAUUGUAUUAAUUUAAUUUUAAUUAAUAUUCCUAUAAGCACGUCGUUUUUUACAAAUUUUAACGUAAGCUUAUUAGCUAACACCACUGAAUGUAAAUUUGUUGAAACUUUAGAUAAUAUAAUUUAAGCAAAUUAGUUUAUAAGUGCAAGUAGGAUAGAAAUAUAAAGAGAACAAGUUUUCAUGUGUGUUCAAUAAUUUCUUCCUGAAUUUUUUAUAAUUUUUAAGCUUUUUAUUUUAUGAGAUAUUAUACUUACCGUAAUUGUUAUAUUGUGUGGAAAGAAUUGGUCGUUUUAAAUAUAAUUUUAAACUCGAAUAUAUUUUAGUUCAACUUCAAAUAUGUACCCUAUGUUAAAUAUUUAUAUUUAUUAAAGUAGAUAAAAGUAGAGCACACAUGAAAACUUAUUACUUAAUUGGCGCAUUUUUUCUCGCUAAUAAAUUUUAAAAAUUCAUCGUAAAUGCAUUUUUCAUUAAUUUUGACCUGUUGCCUUAUGAUCGUUUUGUACAUAAAUAUAUAAAUGAUGGAAUCUAGUAGUAAAUAUAAUAUUUAUUGGCUUCAA